rnacentral:lncRNA from 1 species
GCACCUUUAAGAAAAAAACAGGUUAGAGAGCUGCCUCGUAUCCAUUCAAACCAGUUGUUAUGGAGAUUGCCUCUGGGUACCACAGACACAUUCCAGCUCACGAUCUAUUUUUAUACGACUGUUCUGAGGAUCCGCAGACACCUGUCUCAUUUAGCGGCGAGAAUAUUUAAGCACCAAGAUCCAUUUAAAACAACAGAUAAGCCAGCCUUGAUGGCAUAUUUUAAGCCAGGAAUUCUAUUACUGGAGACUAAGUUUCCUUUGUUCCAACGAUGUCUUUGUAGUACUGUAUCCCAAGCCAAGAAAAUACAACCUG